UACGUAGGUGGCAAGCGUUGUCCGGAUUUACUGGGCGUAAAGCGUAUGCAGGCGGACCGUUAAGUAGGAAGUGAAAGGUUGGAGCUCAACUCUAACACUGCUCCCUAUACUGGCGGUCUUGAGUGGCGGAGAGGAAGAUGGAACGACACGUGUAGCGGUGAAAUGCGUUGAUAUGUGUCGGAACACCAAUGGCGAAAGCAAUCUUCUGGACGCAAACUGACGCUGAGAUACGAAAGCCAAGGUAGCAAACAGG
rnacentral:rRNA from 1 species